AUGGACUGAUACGUUACAGUGGGAAAAGCACUGGAGCUGUGCUGGAUCGGGAGCCCGGUUCCAGUGAGAACAUUGAAUACAAAAUGAGGAUAAAUGACUUGCUAAAGCCUCCUGGAGAGAAGCAAUGACAGCUCAAUGCCAAGCAGUAGGAAGCCCUCAGUGACCCUCUGCAGAGGGAAAAAGACCAACUCAGAGCCC